CAUAGUAGCGAUCUUGCGCUGAAAGCGUUCAAUCACAGGAGCAGCAGUCCUGGUCUGAGCCCUAAGACUAGCAGGAGACCUCCAAUCGACACCGUGGCUCCAGCGAGGAACCGAGGAUCGGAUGGAACGGAUAGCAGUACAGAAAGAAAAAA